GGAGAACAGAACGGAAACAUGCGACGUAAGACCUGUCAUUUGUGUGAGGAACGGGACAGAGACCGCUCCACAGUCUCCUCCUACACAGCAGCUAGACACGGACUUCAACAUAGACAGAUGUGUUGCCAAGAUGAAGUGUUUUGCACCUGUGGCGCUGUACAAGCCUUUGGGGAGCAGGCUACCUGGGUGAGGAGUAUAUCCCAGUUCCAGGCUCACCAGAACGGGGGGAGGGAGCUGGCCAGUCUUAGGGAGUUGGGGCUCUCAGACCUGGAGAUAGAACUGUGGUUCCCCAGAGACCAGCCUUAAAACACUGAGAAGGGUCAUGGGGUGGGUGUGUGUGCCCCCGGGGUGCGGCAGCAGCGUCUGCAGGUGAUCCAGGACAAGAUGGCGGCUCGGGCAGAGCUCAUGUCAAUCCACAUUGCUUCUCAGCCAGCCGACCCCUGUCCCGCAGAGAGAUGGAGGUCGAGAAGGCCCUGUUCCAUGGUAAUGACCACCAGGGCUUCCUCACUGCACUCUAUCACCAAGGUGGGAUGAUGUUAUAUAUGCUAAGUGUCUGGUCGUUCACACUGCAACUCCCAUAGACCAAGAGGUUAGAAAGGAGUUAGAACGAAAAGGAGUUAUGGAGGCGUUUGAACAAGUCCUAUGUGUGUUGGAAGUGUCUUUGAAAUUCCUUGAAAAGACACAAUAGGAGUUGGGUGCUGGGCUUGAGCCGGAAAAUAUAAUGACAAUAUUUUCUUAUCUAAAUGUUUUAUUUUUAAUGACCUUGGCAUCACUGUGUUUUUUGUGUGUGUAUUUUGUGUAUAUGUUGAAUGUUUUGUGUUGUUGGUGGCUGUCAUGUAUUGAAAAUAUAAAGUAAAAUGUUUAAAAGAAAUAAAGGAAUUCAGCUGUCCAUCA